ACAGUUCCUCCCUCAAACAGUCAAAAAUUUAUCAUCUGUAAAAGAGGAACAGAUCUUGCGAUUCCACAUGCACUACAAGCCACAUAACCUACCACGGAGAUUCUGACCUAUUUUCUCUUAUCUGGGAAUCAUUAAUACCAUGUGCAGACAAGAAGCAUCUGAUCAGAGACCGGUGCUAGAAUUCUAGCCAAAGGCCAUAUCAUGUCUCAAAGUUUUGUGGAAUAAAAUGGCUCUAGAAGAGGUGGUCCUUA
rnacentral:lncRNA from 1 species